GAAGGGCGCAGUUCGGCUGGAUCUCGCACAGGUGCUGCAUGGCUGUCGUCAGCUCGUGUCGUGAGAUGUUGGGUUAAGUCCCGCAACGAGCGUAACCCUCAUCCUUAGUUGCCAGCGGGUAAGCCGGGCACUUUAAGGAAACUGCCGGUGGUAAACCGGAGGAAGGUGGGGAUGAUGUCAAGUCAGCACGGCCCUUAUGGGGUGGGCUACACACGUGCUACAAUGGUGACUACAAUAGGUUGCAAUGUCGCAAGGCUGAGCUAAUCCGUAAAAGUCAUCUCAGUUCGGAUUGUCCUCUGCAACUCGAGGGCAUGAAGUCGGAAUCGCUAGUAAUCGUGGAUCAGCAUGCCACGGUGAAUACGUUCUCGGGUCUUGUACACACUGCCCGUCACGCCAU
rnacentral:rRNA from 1 species